UCCCUCCCCUGCUGCGGUGGGGAGCCCAGGGGAGCCCCCAGCCAGCAAUUACCUCAUCAACAACCCGUGUCUUACUCUCUCUGGAGAGAGCGAUCAGCAGCGGAUGCUCUCGCCUGGGGAUGGCCCGAGAGCCGCGGUACAUCCUCGUGCUGCUUCAUCCCCCAGCUUAGCAAAGCCCACGGGGCUUCCCACUCCUCGCGGGUUCCUCGGGGGGACUUUGGGGUACAAAAAACUUGCAGUUUUCUCAGGAUGUUUCUGCCUCUCUCUGUAGGAAGCGUGUUCCCAGCCCUGUUGGAGCCCCGCAUGGUCCAUGUGGAUGCUGCCCCGGGAGCACGGACACGGGCACGGGUGGGAGCAGAGCUCAGCCCUGAAGGACCCCCCCACGAAAAGCAGCCACGGGAGCUCUGCAGGGAGCAGUGUGUCUGCAGGAUCUGCCCUGUGCCUGUCCCAGCUGGUGGCAUCAUCCGAGGAACCCUGGGGUGCUGGAGAGGGGCUGGAGAGGGGCUGGGCUGGGACCUGCCGGAGUUUGAGUCCUUUCAUCCACCUCUGCCUACCAGAAACGUUGGAACAUCAGAGUAAGAGAGUGUCGUGGUGGGAGGAAGCUGAACUAGAGCACAGAGAAUGAGAAAACCCUCUGGGAGAAGGGAGGGGACCCUGCUGGGGCUGGGGGGGUCCCUCCCCUUGGCUGGAGUCUCUGCCUCUUUGAGAAGAGCAGAAAUUCAGAGAGGCUGUUCCUUCAGUGCAGAGGAUGGAAACGCUGCAGCCUCCCUGCAGAUGAGUCCCUGGCCUGGCCCAAGGGUGUCCCAGUGAUGGGCACCACGGCCAGUCCCACGGAUGGUAAAUGUGGGUGCAGGGGGACGGGAUGCUCAGCCCUCUCUGCUUGUGUGGGGAGAGCUGGAGCACAGCGCCAGGCCCCCAAAUUGGGAUGGUUUUUCUUCUCUUCCCCCGCCACUUUGUUUCUACGUUCCUUUAAAGAAGGCCAGGAUACAGAGCAGGAAAAAAAAAAAAAUCUCUUUGCGUUUCUGCGAGUUAUGAAAUAAUCAUGCGGUGUUUCCCUUCAUCACUACUAAUCACAAGAGAGUUAUGAAAUAAUCAUGCGGUGUUUCCCUUCAUCACUACUAAUCACAAGAGCAAGCUCUCACAAAGAAUUAGUUUGCACUAAACCUUUCGUAAAUCUCUGAAGCCACAGAUGAGAGAUCGCAGAACUGGAGAUUAUGACUUUUAAGUUCAAUUCAUUACCUCAAAUUAGCAUCAAACUACACAGCCCUGCAAGCAGAGCCCUGACCUGAGCUGUUCAAACCCGGCGGCUCCCGUGGGAUUAGUCGGAGCAGGUUGGGAAGGGAGCGAGGCUGGAGAGGAGCAGCUCGUGCUGGAUCGUGUUCAGGAGAGUGUCUUCUCUCCUGCUAGAACGUAUCAUUGCCUUAUUAGGCAAAAUAGAUUUUAGCAUUGAUUUAUCAUCCCCGUUGGAAAGACGUUUUGCUGUGGUUUUCCAUUUAAAUGGAGCUUGGCAGCCUGUGCCUGGGAGCCCUGUCCCUCCCCACGGCCGUGUGUCCUCAGCUGGGUGGGAGGAAGGGAGGGAGGAAGCCUCCUUCAGUGGUACCUGUUCUCGAGUGGAGCAGAAAAGGGGUGGGCAGGCUCUGGAUAGUGUUAUUAUUAUUUGCACCUAUCAAGAAAAAAGGUCUGUUGGAACCUGGGGACAUCAGAGGAAGGAGCUGCUGACAGGGAUGGUGGCUCCCGCUCCCCUGCUCCGGGGGGAAAAUGUGUGAAUAAAUUAUUACAAACCCAAGAGCA
rnacentral:lncRNA from 1 species